UACGGAGGGUGCGAGCGUUGUCCGGAAUCACUGGGCGUAAAGGGCGCGUAGGCGGCUUCUCAAGCGUGUGGUGAAAGUCCGGGGCUCAACCCCGGAUCGGCCGUGCGGACUGGGGAGCUCGAGUUCUGUAGAGGCGGGUGGAAUUCCGGGUGUAGCGGUGGAAUGCGUAGAGAUCCGGAGGAACACCGACGGCGAAGGCAGCGCCCUGGCCGACGACUGACGCUCAGGCACGAAAGCUGGGGGAGCAAACAGG
rnacentral:rRNA from 1 species